UACAGAGGGUGCAAGCGUUAAUCGGAAUUACUGGGCGUAAAGCGUGCGCAGGCGGCUUUGCAAGACAGAUGUGAAAUCCCCGGGCUUAACCUGGGAACUGCAUUUGUGACUGCAUGGCUAGAGUGCAGCAGAGGGGGAUGGAAUUCCGCGUGUAGCAGUGAAAUGCGUAGAUAUGCGGAGGAACACCGAUGGCGAAGGCAAUCCCCUGGGCCUGCACUGACGCUCAUGCACGAAAGCGUGGGGAGCAAACAGG
rnacentral:rRNA from 1 species